AGCGAACGCUGGCGGCAGGCCUAACACAUGCAAGUCGAACGAACUCUUCGGAGUUAGUGGCGGACGGGUGAGUAACACGUGGGAACGUGCCUUUUGGUUCGGAAUAACUCAGGGAAACUUGUGCUAAUACCGAAUGUGCCCUUCGGGGGAAAGAUUUAUCGCCAUUAGAGCGGCCCUCGUCUGAUUAGCUAGUUGGUGAGGUAACGGCUCACCAAGGCGACGAUCAGUAGCUGGUCUGAGAGGAUGACCAGCCACACUGGGACUGAGACACGGCCCAGACUCCUACGGGAGGCAGCAGUGGGGAAUCUUGCGCAAUGGGCGAAAGCCUGACGCAGCCAUGCCGCGUGAAUGAUGAAGGUCUUAGGAUUGUAAAAUUCUUUCACCGGGGACGAUAAUGACGGUACCCGGAGAAGAAGCCCCGGCUAACUUCGUG
rnacentral:rRNA from 1 species